AUGAAUUUUCAAAUUAUCAACAUCAAAAAUUCAAUCGGAAACAAGAUUCCGGUAUCGAAACCAACAUCCACAAAAUGCAACCGUGUUAAAACUCCAAGUUCUCUUGAACUUAUCCAAACUCAACCAAUUAUGGAUUUCAACAUUAUCAACCAAUUAUGGAUUUCAACAUUAUCAACCAAUUCAAAAAUUAAACAACUCAAGAAAUCAACAAUUUCAACAAUUCAAAUAUCUCAUGAAACAAAGCUCAAUGAUUCAAGAAUUAACCAAUUCAAGAAAACAACAAUUCCAAUUAUCUCAAGAAAUCAACUCACAUCACACAAUUAUGUCUCAAGCAUUUAA